GGGCCAAAACACACCCUGUAGCAAGAAUCAAACCAGAUGCUUAAUCAGAAGGCCUGUUGCUGGAACUAUUGCCUUCAACAUCCCCAGAAGCAUUCUAGACAUUGCUGACACCACGGUACAUACACUCGAUGAGUCCUACCCCAGCAAUUGAACACAGUGUACUCACUAAAAUCGGUGGCAAAGCGGGAUCACCAACAUUCUCCCUAGCAGUGUUCUGAACCAAAUCAAAGCCCAACCCAGAAUGUACUGUACCAAAACGAACUUCCACCAUGGUACUAAACUUGUCCAAAUGUCUCCUAACAAGUUCUACACUCCCCUUUAAAAUGUACAACUAGGAUCUUUUUGUCCCUCCAGUACAACCCAGACUCCCUUUUGAACCUUCAAGAGUCCACCUCCUUCAGAGAAUUUAUACCCUUUUGCAUCCAAGGUACUUAGCAAAAUGAGAUUCAUUUUCAAGUCAUGAACAUAUCAAACCAGGUCAAUUGUUCUAAAUGUUCCAUCCUGUAGCCUCAAUCUAACUUGACCAAUCCCAGCAAUAGGCAAGAUUGGUUGUUUUCCAUUACAAUUCCAGCUUACUGAACAACCUCAUAUGUCUGAAAUAAAUUUCUAUCGGAACACAUAUGGUGCGAACUUACCGAAUAAAGAAUCCACUUCUCAUCAUGCCUAGAUUCCACAUCAGAUACCACAGUCAACAUUACCUCUUCGCCAUUUGAACAAUUCUCAACUACAUUGGUUUCAUCUGAAUUCAAAGGCGAAACCUCAAGAUUUGUAGCUAAAUCACCUUUAGCUUACAGUAUAUCGCAAUCUUUUCGAAUAUUCCAUUCUUUUAUAGUAGUAAUCGAUCAUAUUGCUA
rnacentral:lncRNA from 1 species